UUCCUCUCUGGCCCACGGUGUGGCAACGUCUGACACUCACGUUCUAAAACCAGCACGACUGGGUGUAUAAAAAGCCUGCUGAGAUGCUGAUUGGGACCUGAAGUCUAAAGAGCCGGUGACCGGAAGUGCCCCCCACACCUCCCAACGCGUUGAGCCCCUAUGUGGCAUUUCUCUGCUCCUAUGUGGCACCGCUAGAGCACCGCCUUUUCCGCUGGGUGGCUCGGAGGAAAACGAAAAGCGAGCUAGAUUUCGACGUCGCAACUGUUAAAAGGACUCCUUGCUCAGACACUCCCCCUCGAGUUUGCCGUCCAUCAGUUCCAGUCUGACUUCAUCCUGAUCAAAACUUGGACAGAAGACAAGCUCUACCCUAAUUGGGAACGCCCCUUUCCAGGUGUUGCUAACUACUAAGAGCUAUUUGGACUGGAAAAAGGGUGUUUCAGAUAGGUGGUUGUGGCAGUCAUGGAAAGUUCCCAACCAUCCUCUAAAGUUAGUGUUAAAAAAAAUAACAACAUGUGGAAACUCCUUUUAAUUCUCUGGACAGUUUACCAGACUGGAGCCAAUGCACCAUGGAAAGAUGCCCCCAAUGGGGACUGGAGAGGGUAUGGAGUCUCUCUGGUUAUUAAUGUCACCAUGACAACCUCACCUCUUGUACUAGAAUUUGAUGCAUGUCAGGUGUUACAGUGUGGGGCUAUAAUCUACCAAAGAUGGCUCUCCAAGCAUCAUAAAUACCUGUGUCCCAGCAUCCGCAACCCUGAGUAUUAUGGUAGAUUGUAUAGGUGGGAACACCCUCCCUGUUCCUUCUGGGAUGAGGUAUGGUGGACCACUGAGCCAGGCGGCUGGACAGCUUCAGUUCCUAGCAGAAAAUUUCCCAAGCUGACCCAGCUAAAACCAAAGAUAUCUCUAUCUAUGGGAAACACGUCUGCCAAUUGCCAGUUACUCCAAUGCAACCCUCUGCUUUUGAUCAUACAGGACCCCCUUUCUCUUUUUACUGAACCCCGGGUUGCCUCUCGGAUGUAUGGUCUUGGGGCAGAUGUGAGUGGAACAGAUCCUAUAGGGAAACUGGUUCUUAGGUUUAUUCAGGAGCCAAUCCCUACUUCUGUCCCCAACAAUGGAUCCACAGAGUCCCAGAGAAUCAUUUCAAAACAACCCCCCCAAAAAAAAUAAUGGGCUGGGAGAUGGUACAACCAGUAGAUCAUCGCACAUGUUACCACAUAGUUCAAGCCCCUAGUUCCCACCUGUAGGGGUGAAGCACUGUUGCUGGUGUCUCUCCCCAUUUCCUCUCAAUUUUUCUCUGUCUUAUCAAAUAAAGUAAGGAUUAUUGAAGUCAAGAACCCAAGUUGAACUCUCGAAAUAGAAGCAGUUUAUGGAGACACCCAUGCCUGGGUAGAAUGAGUUUUUUUUUUCUCUGCAUUCCAUAAACAAGAGACACUGUUAUGCAUGUGCUCCAGGGAGACCACAGUUCCUUGGAUGGGACACUCACUUUGGUGGAAAUUACUGCAUGUUGGCUCUGUCCUAGAACAAAGAUGUAUGGGGAAAUGAGACCUGCAAAAGCCUGUCACUGCUCUUUCCCCCUCUACAGUGUCUGGCCUGUGGACUAAAGCCAUCGUUCUCCAUAGGGACUAACCACCACUCUUCCUGCCUGUCCAGGUAGGGUAAUGAGUACACCAACCUGAUGGGAGAGCUGGCAGCCUGUAGCAGCAUCCUCAGUGUCACUGGUGAAUCAACCAAUGGCAGCUACUUGAACUUCGGUAGGCCCCAAGCAGACGUGGGAAUCAGACCCUCUGUGCCCUGUUGCCUCCCAACUGGACUGGAAUUUGUCCAACUGGCCAUUUCCAUUUCCACAUUAGGGGUCUUGUCAUUGGAGAUUCUUACUGGGGCACCAGUGAUCUUUAAACCCUUAAUAUAUUAGGUUUUUUUGCACAAGAAAAACUGAAAAAUAAAUCAUGACUUUUCUGACAACCCAAUAUAUCUGGAUGCCAUAGAGUACCAAGAGUGGUUCCAAAUGAAUUUAAAGCUAGAAACCGAAUAGCUGCUGGGCUUGAAUCCUCACUCUUUUGGUGGUCUACUAUUGAUAAAAAUGUAGACUGGGUUAAUUAUAUGUAUUACAACUUGUAGCAGUUUACUAUGUUAGAGAUGCUGUCUAAGCUAUGUCUAGUCAAUUGGAUGCUAUCACCAGAAUGACUUAAGAAGACAGGAUGGAGUUAGAUAUGAUGUUGGCAAAAAAAAGCCUCUGAAAAAAAAAAUGCCUCUGAUGGCAUCAUCCCCAGGGCUUUUACAGGGUCUGGCUAAUGAGUUGGCCAAGAAUUCCAGCCUUGAUAAUCUGAAACAGCUAUCAAUAAACAGAUGCCCAUGAAAUAUCACCAGAAAUAAUAAGUUACCGGAAACUGGGAUGGAUCGGCUACCCCACCCCACAAGAAAUUGAACAAAUGUUGAAGCAAAUUAAAAAGUGAACUAUAGUGGAAAUAAAAUAAAAAUGUCAACAAUAGAUUGGGGGGGGGAGUGUGAUUAUAGCGCUUUAUCUUCCCCCACCUGGCUUUCUAGAUCAGGAUGUAGGUUCAGCUAGCUCACACAAAGAGCUUAUGGAACUGCAGUUACAGGUUUUUCUGACUAUGGAAAAACUAGUCCUCCCCCCAGUUGCUAGACCUAGACCACAGGUAUAAACAUAUGAAACAAGGGCAGGGGUAGAUAGCAUAAUGGUUUUACAAGGAGACCCUCAUGCCUGAGGCUCUGAAGUCCCAGGUUCAAUCCCUCACACCACCAUAAACUAGAGCUAAGCAGUGCUCUGGUAAACAAACAAACCUGUUAAACAUAUAAAACAAGAGGUAGAGGACUCAAGACUGUGGAAAAUCCCCAGAUAGCUGUUGGGAAGGAAUAUGUUCUAUGAGGCAUAUCAGCACAAAGAAUAAGAACGUUUGUACAAAUAAAGUGCUAACACCUAGGUUCAUAGCCUUAAAAAGGGUACAAUAAGGAGGUUCUUCCCAUUACUAGGCACCUCUUGGAUGAGAUUUUUCACUCCACAGUACUCAGCCUAUGAAGGACUGGAAGAGGGACUUUGCAUUAGAGAUAAAAGUGUCUGGUGUUAUCUCAAAACAGUGUGCAUCUUCCUGCUUGAUUUUGGGAAAAUCAAAUAAAGUCUUGCUUUCUGCUAUG